ACUGGUCCUUGUCCAAGAAAUAGUCUGGUACAUAACCUCCAGUAAAAUGGCAAAUCACCGUUGUACAGAUUAAACAAACAAGAUAUAACAUGUUAAGUACCGAGCUUUAGGGGUGCUGUUUCCAGUCGAAAGGACGGGCCGGUCCGGGGCCUCCGCAGACACCUCUUGAUCCUCGGGGGCAUCUACAGGAGAGUCUGUAUGAUGUGGGGAGGAGCGGACGUCUGCUCCUCCUGACCUAACAGGUGAAGACAGAAAGCGGUCCUGUGAAGCCGACGCUGCGUUGGGCAGAGUGGCAACGCUGCCAGCCAGAGACGUUGGAUAUAAAUAUCCACCUCACAUCACGGCAGUUUCCUCCAAAAACAAACACUUCAGAUUCUACCUUGUAAUUUAUCACUUCUCUCUCUCUCUCCCCCGCGGAGGGAAAAUCACAGGAGGGGAAAUGUUGAGUUGAAAGAUUGCGGUGUUGUUUUUAAUCUCCAUGUUUCAUUUUGUCUCUUCGUGUUGCCUAUUCAUAUUUAUUGAGCCCCAUCGGGCUUCACUAGCAUCAUAAAUAUCACCGCUGUAUUAAAGAAACUUCAAACUCAACAAGGUCUGACAAGGAAAAUACCUCACACUACUAACAGUUAGUGUAGUUAGCUUUGAAUAUAAAUACUGUAUGCCACACAA